rnacentral:lncRNA from 1 species
CCCCGCCGCCGGGGCGCCCCGGGACCGCCGCCUGCCUUCGCAGGCACCUUUGUUCUUUCUCUCCCAACUACCUGUCUGAGCAGUGGGCCGGAGAGGGCCCCAAGAAAGAUCCGCCCCUCCCGGAGAGUCUCCCCAUCUGCAUCGGAGGGGCGCUCUUGGGGAGCCCGGGAUAGUGUCCCAGUCUCUCUCUCUGCCUGCCUCCCGCACCUCUUCUCUCUCCUCUUUUGUUGCCUGUACUCUUCGUCGCGACGCUGCCUUGGCUGCUUUUCCCCCUCCCACUUGGGAGUUUGCAGCGUGGACGGCCGGUGAACACCGUCAACUUAGAAAUUUGGGAAAACACAACACAUGGGACCAGAAGUUUGAGGACUUCACUGAAAUGAUUCUCCAUGCUUUGUACGACAUCUCUACAUAAGAAGAGAGAAAUCAUCACUCCAGUUUGAGACCCCCUCAUUCUUCCUCUUUGUUCCUUCUUCUACCCUCUUCAUAUCCCUGAUAAUAAAAAGUAAAAUGACAGAAAAAAAAGCAUGACAAAGGCAAACAAUACAUUAAGCGCACAACUGGAGUCACUAGGAUUAACCACUAAAAAUAUUGCACAGGGUAUACUCCUGCUAAAAACAAAUAUGUUGUUUAUCUGAAAUUAAAGUUGAACUUUAAUAUUUC